CAACAACACUAGAAAGUACAACAGCAGAGACAACAAUAACAACAGACAGCACCACAAUGGAUACUACAACAACACAAAGCACCACCACCGGUACCACAACUUUAGAAAGUACAACAGCAGAAACUUCAAUAACCACUGAAAGCAUCACAACAGACAUUACAACUACAGAAAGCACAACUGAAUCCACAACAACAGAAAGUACAACAAUAACAGAAAGUACCACAGUGGGUAGUACAGCAACAGAAAGCACUACCAUAGGUACAACAACUCCAGAAAGUACAACAGUGGAAACCACAAUAAUAGAUGCUACAACAUCAGAAAGUACCACCACCAUUACCACAGCUUCAGAAAGUACAACAGAAAGCACCACAACAACAGACAGCACCACCACGAUGGACACUACAACAACAGAAAGCACAACACCUGAGGCAACAUCAUCGGAAAGCACUACAAUAACAGAAAGUACAACCACCAGUACCACAACUCCAGAAAGUACAACAAUGGAGACGGCAACAUCAGAAAGCACCACAACUGAAGGAACAACAGACAGCACCACCACUGAAAGCACCACAAUGGAGACCACAACAAAAGGAAGUACAACUACUGGCACCACAACUCCAGAAAGUACUACCAAAGAGACCACAACAGACAUUACAACAACAGAAAGCACCACCACCGGUACCACAACUUUAGAAAGUACAACACCAGAAACUUCAAUAACAAUUGAAAGCACCACAACUGAUUCAACAACAGAAAGUACAACAUCCGGUGACACAACACCAGAAAGUACAACAGCAGAGACAACAAUAACAACAGACAGCACCACAAUCGAUACUACAACAACAAAAAGCACCACCACUGGUACCACAACUUUAGAAAGUACAACACCAGAAACUUCAACAACAACUGAAAGCACCACAUCUGAGACAACAACAGGAAGUACAACCACAGGCACCACAACAGAAAGUACAACCACUGGUACCACAACACCAGAAAGUACAACAGCAGAGACAACAAUAGCAACAGACAGCACCACAAUCGAUGCUACAACAACAGAAAGCAACACCACCGUUACCACAACUUUAGCAAGUACAGCAG
ensembl:lncRNA